CUGUUUCUGAAUAUUCUUUCCUGCUGGAGCUUUCCUUUGUGAGCCUUGAAUCUUCUGAUAUGGUGAAAGCAAAGACUCAGCAGUAGGAUGAUUUGAAGCAGUCACUCCCAUUCCUGAAGGAAUUACUGGGACCUUUGACAUGACUGGAAAUGGAAGGAAUAUCAACAGCCUUUGACAUGGAAUCUAUUAAAUCUCAGCUGGUUGCAUCUGAACAUACAGAUCUUCCAGCCUUUACUGCUGAGCAAAUCCUUCAUUUGACAUUUGAGCUUUAAGUAUUGAAACCCAGGAGCAAUUCUGGUAUGAGGUAUGUUGGACUGAUAAUCCUUAUCUUAUAACAACAUCAUUCUGUGAGCAUCAAUUCUCCAUUUUUAAUUCAGUAGCAAUUUGAAGGAGCCAAGGGACUGAAAAAAUGAGGAAAGCUUAAUGCAUGAAUGUAAAAUCUUUUCCCUUGUCUGGAUCAUAUAAAAUGAAGACAAAAUGCCCUGGGCCACAUUCAGGUUGCACUGAAAGUGAUGUCUCCUAUGUAUUUCCAUGGGAACUACAACAGAUACGAAGAGCACAAUAAUGCUUUUAGAUAGAACAAAUUCUCACUGAUGACUAUCAAUGAAUGCCGUUUUUUCUGCAUGGAGGAAUUCAGUGACACAUCUUUGCUUCAUAUUUGCUUCCAUAGCAGAUGCAAUCCUGCCAGACUGCCCCUCUGCUGCAAUCUGUGGCACAGCAACAAAAUGUAAUGGAAUAUUGGUGGGAAGGUUCAUCCUCUACUACCAUAUCACAACAACUGUCUCUGAUGCUUUGAACCAAUAUAAUAAAACAGGAGGCAUUACUUUUGGUGCAGCCCUUGUAAACGAUAUAGUAUAGUUUACGUAUAUAAAUAACAAAACAUUGUAACUUUUAAUAUUUUUUUAUUAAAACAAAAAGGAGGGCAUAAAAAUGUAAAACUAGUGAGAUAUUUGACCUUGUUUUUGUGAAACCAAUGCAUCAGUCUGGUUCAAUGGCAGUGGCUGCAAUUCUUAGCCAGUUCUCAAGAUGUUCAUCAGAGAUUUUUGGUGAAAUUCUUUUCUCUCUCUGUUUCAUUCUUGAAAAAAUUUUAUUAAAGUAUGUACUGUUAGAGAGCAGAGACAUGAAUAAAGUGUGAUGGUGAAGUGAGAGAUAUUUUUCAUUGGUGAGAUCUUAUAAAAGUCUAGUAAAGAGACAUAAUCCAUUUUUGAGUUGAAUAUCUGAUUGCAACUUUAUACUUUCAAUUUAAAAAUGUGCUGGUUACAUAUGUGAACUGAAAAUAUAACCUCAAACACACUACAAUGAAUAAAUAAAUAAACCCUCUUCAGCAGUUUGGAAACCUAUUCUCAAAUUCCUUUAUCAAAGCAGAAAGCGGGACUGAGUAUUUUUUGCUGUUUAUAAGACUGUGUUCAGCCGAUGUAGCAAAA